rnacentral:rRNA from 1 species
AUUGAACGCUGGCGGCAGGCUUAACACAUGCAAGUCGAACGCAUCGCAAGAUGAGUGGCAGACGGGUGAGUAACGCGUGGGAACAUACCCUUUUCUACGGAAUAGCUCUGGGAAACUGGAAUUAAUACCGUAUACGCCCUACGGGGGAAAGAUUUAUCGGGGAAGGAUUGGCCCGCGUUGGAUUAGCUAGUUGGGGGGGUAAAGGCCUACCAAGGCGACGAACCAUAGCUGGUCUGAGAGGAUGAUCAGCCACAUUGGGACUGAGACACGGCCCAAACUCCUACGGGAGGCAGCAGUUGGGAAUAUGGGACAAUGGGCGCAAGCCUGAUCCAGCCAUGCCGCGUGAGUGAUGAAGGCCUUAGGGUUGUAAAGCUCUUUCACCGAUGAAGAUAAUGACGGUAGUCGGAGAAGAAGCCCCGGCUAACUUCGUGCCAGCAGCCGCCGUAAAAC